rnacentral:rRNA from 1 species
UACAGAGGGUGCGAGCGUUAAUCGGAAUUACUGGGCGUAAAGCGUGCGUAGACGGUUUCGUAAGUCGGGUGUGAAAUCCCCGGGCUCAACCUGGGAAUUGCAUUCGAAACUGCGAGGCUAGGGUACGGAAGAGGGAAGUGGAAUUCCUGGUGUAGCGGUGAAAUGCGCAGAUAUCAGGAAGAACACCCGUGGCGAAAGCGGCUCUCUGGGACGGUACUGACGCUGAGACGCGAAAGCGUGGGGAGCGAACAGG